GUCGUUGUAGUAUAGUGGUGAGUAUUUCCGCCUGUCACGCGGAUGACCCGGGUUCAAUCCCCGGCAACGGCG
rnacentral:tRNA from 1 species